UCCAUGGAGGACUAGUGGUUAGGCUUCGGCGCUCUCACCGCCGUGGCCCGAGUUCGGUUCCCGGUCAGGGAA
rnacentral:tRNA from 1 species